rnacentral:rRNA from 1 species
AUUGAACGCUGGCGGCAGGCCUAACACAUGCCAGUCGAGCGGAUGAAGGGAGCUUGCUCCUGGAUUCAGCGGCGGACGGGUGAGUAAUGCCUAGGAAUCUGCCUGGUAGUGGGGGAUAACGUCCGGAAACGGGCGCUAAUACCGCAUACGUCCUGAGGGAGAAAGUGGGGGAUCUUCGGACCUCACGCUAUCAGAUGAGCCUAGGUCGGAUUAGCUAGUUGGUGGGGUAAAGGCCUACCAAGGCGACGAUCCGUAACUGGUCCGAGAGGAUGAUCAGUCACACGGGAACUGAACCACGGCCCAGACCCCGAGGGGGGGCGGCAGGGGGGAUUUUUGGAGAAGGGCGAAAGGCCUGACCCGGCCUUGCGGGUUGUGGAAAGAGGGUCUUGGGUUUUUAAAGCAUUUUAGGUUGGGAGGAAGGAAAGUAAGUAAAUCCCUUGUUUUUUUGACGUCCCCAAAAAAAAAGGCCCGGGCUACCUUCGUC